GACAGAGGGUGCAAACGUUGUUCGGAAUUACUGGGCGUAAAGCGUGUGUAGGCGGCUUUGUAAGUCGGAUGUGAAAGCCCCGGGCUCAACCCGGGAAGUGCACUCGAUACUGCGAAGCUUGAGUACUGGAGAGGUUGGUGGAAUUCUCGGUGUAGAGGUGAAAUUCGUAGAUAUCGAGAGGAACACCGGUGGCGAAGGCGGCCAACUGGACAGAUACUGGCGCUGAGACACGAAAGCGUGGGGAGCAAACAGG
rnacentral:rRNA from 1 species